AUUGAACGCUGGCGGCAGGCCUAACACAUGCAAGUCGAGCGGAUGAAGGGAGCUUUCUCCUGGAUUCAGCGUCGGACGGGUGAGUAAUGCCUAGGAAUCUGCCUGGUAGUGGGGGAUAACGUCCGGAAACGGGCGCUAAUACCGCAUACGUCCUGAGGGAGAAAGUGGGGGAUCUUCGGACCUCACGCUAUCAGAUGAGCCUAGGUCGGAUUAGCUAGUUGGUGGGGUAAAGGCCUACCAAGGCGACGAUCCGUAACUGGUCUGAGAGGAUGAUCAGUCACAUUGGAACUGAGCCACGGUCCAGACUCCUACGGGAGGCAGCAGUGGGGAAUAUUGGACAAUAGGCGAAAGCCUGAUCCAGCCAUGCCGCGUGUGUGAAGAAGGUCUUCGGAUUGUAAAGCACUUUAAGUUGGGAGGAAGGGCAGUAAGUUAAUACCUUGCUGUUUUGACGUUACCAACAGAAUAAGCACCGGCUAACUUCGUG
rnacentral:rRNA from 1 species